UUGUUCCCAAAACCUUUCUUAAAUGAUCGAAAAGUGAGAUGAGCACUGUGUACCACAAAUGGAGAUGCUAGAAAUAGGUACCCCAUGUAACUACACAAUCUCUUAGAGAUUAAGCCUUCCAUAAUCCUUAGUCAAGAAAUUUGUCUGCACUGGAAAGACGUGAGCAGACUUUGCCAUCCUAUCAAAGAUGACCCAAAUAGAGUCAAAUUUAUUCUGAGAUAGAGGAAGACCGAUA
rnacentral:lncRNA from 1 species